AACAGCCGCGGUAAUUCCAGCUCCAAUAGCGUAUAUUAAAGUUGUUGCAGUUAAAAAGCUCGUAGUUGAAUUUCGGGAUCAAUUUAUUGGUCGUGCUAUUGUACGUACUGGUAUUAUUGAUUCCUACCUUCUGACGAACCAUGAUGUCAUUAAUUUGGUGUCAUGGGGAAUCAGGACUGUUACUUUGAAAAAAUUAGAGUGUUUAAAGCAGGCUCACGCUUGAAUACAUUAGCAUGGAAUAACGAAAUAGGACGUUUGAUUCUAUUUUGUUGGUUUCUAGGAUCGACGUAAUGAUUAAUAGGGAUAGUUGGGGGCAUUAGUAUUCAAUUGUCAGAGGUGAAAUUCUUGGAUUUAUUGAAGACUAACUACUGCGAAAGCAUUUGCCAAGGAUGUUUUCAUUAAUCAAGAACGAAAGUUAGGGGAUCGAAGACGAUCAGAUACCGUCGUAGUCUUAACCAUAAACUAUGCCGACUAGGGAUCGGAUGAUGUUAAUUUUUUAAUGACUCA
rnacentral:rRNA from 1 species